UGCCGCGGUUAUACGAGGGACUCAAGUUGAUAGACAACGGCGUAAAGCGUGGUUAUGGACUUUUCCCCAACUAAAGUUAAACACCUCCCAAACUGUUAUACGCAUCCGGGGCGCGGAAACUCUUCCACGAAAGUGACUUUAACAUUAUUCCUGAACCCACGAGAGCUAGGAAA
rnacentral:rRNA from 1 species